ACUCCCCAUCCAGUGGGCUAUGUUCUCAGUCUCAGCCUUAUGUCUAUGAUAUCGUGGAGACCAUGUUGCCUUAGGAACGUCAUCCAUUAUUGAAAUACGUUCUUUUUGCCGUUAGAUUUGUUUUGCUGGAUAUAUGUUGGAACAAAUUGUUGCAUGGAGGUGAAGCUUCAAUUUGGGUCUUGGUUUGUCAACCAUUGGUUGAGAUGGGGAAAGAGCGUGGAUUGGAUCAACAUUAUUUUCCCGCACUCAUCUAAGGAAUGCUGGCACGCUCACAGUUGUAGCGUAACAUUCUUGUCUGUUCAAUUUUAAAAUUUUAUAAUUGUAUUUCAUACAAGCUUCUGGCCUGCAUCAGCCAAUAGGGUCCAGCAAUGGCAUGGUCCCCUCUGACUGUGUAGUGUAACUUACAUCCUUCGUCAAUGAAAAUGUGUUGGAACAAAUUGUUGCAUGGAGCUUAAGCUUCAAUUUGGGACUUGGUCUGUCAAGCGUUGGUUGAGAUGGCAAAAGAGCAUGGAUUGGAUGAAUUCCCGCCCAUUUUUUCCGUUCUAUGACCGAGUUCUUUUUACAGACAGAGGCUUCUCAUUUCUUCUUCAUACCAGCGAUCAGGGUCGCCAAACUAAGUCGUUGUGUCGGACUGUUAAUUUGGUAGAAAAUCGUAGAAUUAUUGGCGAUACAUUUGUCAAAGUGGCAGAUAAAACGGCUAACGAUUUAAAUCUCACUUGGGAUAAUCUACUUCUUGAACAAGGUGUAAACCUAUUUUUUGGCGUCUAUUAUUGCCUAAUAUUCAAUGUCAUCAUAUCGAGGUAGGAUCAUAUGAUGGGUAGGACCCAAAACAAAAGUUUUGACAAGUACUGUCAUAUUUCGGUUGCAGGUUUUCACUAAAUACCAAGUAAGUAACGGGUUUAAUCGUGUUGAAUGUAUGAUUUUUCGAUUCAAGUCUAUUUAUGUGCCAGAACUGAAAUUGUACUCUUAGAACUUUUAAAGCACCGCAUAACUUUUAUUAACAAUAGUUUACUUUUAUAACUAUCAAAUUCUUGUUAACCAUUUAAAGCAGAAAAAAGCUCAUUUUUUAGAUAACAGAAUUUCAACUUCUGGUUUUACUUCCGGUUUUAAAAUGCCAAAUAACUCCUUACUUGUAGGUCUAUCAGGAAAAAGAUUCACAUUUUCGUGAUCCUCGUCAAAUUUUGGGUCAACUCUAUGCAUCAGCUCAAAAUACCCGAAAAUCGCAAAUUUUCCUGAACUAGAAAUUCAUACAAAAUAACGAUUGUGGUCAAAUCUGACUUUUGGCUAAAAACACGUCAUUCCAACCCCAAAUUUGAUAAGGAUCACGAAAAUCCUGCUCGCUUUAUUAUGGGAUCACUAUUUCCGGAGAUAUUGGCUACUUCCCGGAAAUUUUGGAGACAAUUUGCGAAAAGCAAAAAAUUUGCUGUAUUAUUCUAACAAUUUCAAAUGUUUUUCUUGCAUGCAUUAGGGUUUUGCAGCUUUUAUUCCGUGUUUUUCUUGCUAUCAACAUACAGGCUGAUCCUAAAAGCAACGACAGUUUUAGCUACAAAUGUUUAGCUCUCCGUCUUGCAACUAGUAGUUGAUAUUCUAGGUUUUUAAAUUUAAAAUUGGGAUCAACUGUCUGAGGCGGAAAAACUAGAUGUCGGUACCCUUGGCAGGUGGGCGGCGCUAACGUCUGCUAACAUAAAAAUUGUCUAUUCCCGGCAUCUAAGGAGUACGAAUUAGACUUGUAGUUACUUGUCUCAUCAUUCUGGAUUUACACAACGACGACAUUUGGUGUUGAACGUUUCUUCGCUGUGUUAUUGUCCUUUGUAUAGAGCGUAAGUUCUUCUAAUAGACCAACAUAUCUGGGAGCAAGGAUCUGCUUAGGGACAGUGAGACAUCAGCGAAUACAACAACGGAACCAUAUCCAAAUUGUAGCACAAAACUUGUACAGCUGUGAUACCUCCCAAACACCUAUGCAGUUUGGAAUGCUUGUCAGGCGAAUGCAGAUUAAUGUAAAAGAUGUCAAAUGUUAGACAUGUGGAAAAGGCCUGAUAGGAUGUGUGGGCGCCUUUGGUAACAUAGAUUGGAACAUAUGAUUUUUCAUGUUGGCUACACCAAGGCAGUAAUAACUGUGCUGCAAACAAUCUGCAAAACAUGCUUGUCUGUCCAUCUCAGUGAUGAGAUGGCAAAUUGGUUGAGUAAAUCUGACUAAGAAAGCAAAUCUGAGAAGUGUCCUAAAAGUAACUUGUCCCAGUGUGAUUUUCGUAGCAAUCCAUCAUUUGUUCCAAAGAUUUUUUUAUGAAGCUACAACAUAGAAGGUCUUGAACCAGUAAGCAUCAUACGGGGAGCUCCUAUGUAUGAAAGGAACUUUCUUCAGUAUUGAUACUGAGAUAAAUGACUUUGUUCUCAUCAACUUUCAGUUUAAAGAAACCAUUAACUCCUCAAAGACCACAAGUACACCUGUUACCACCACCCGGUUCCAAAUCGAUGAUUGCUUGGAUUCUAGAAAAAACAAUGCUCGUGACUCGGUGUCGCCAACGUGAUACAAAGUUAUUCAACUCUUUACAUCAAACCUGUUGAGAAGGAUGCCACAGGCUGGACUCUAUUACUCCAAUUGAAAAUGAAUGGACACAGGUAACAAGUUUAGAGAGACUUUUAUCAGAUCACCUUGCAACCUCUUACUUUCAUUUGAAAGUAAUUCAAGUAGGUCGUCCUAAUGCAAUAAUAAUUUCCGAUUUAAUUUUUUGAUUAGUUCAUUUAUAGCACUCAUGCAAGAUGCAACCACCAUUUAGACAUCUUAAAAACGUAUUUUAGGAUAUGCAAACUAUGGCACUAAGUUAAUUUUUAUAUAAUACUUCGCAUGUUUGUCGCAUGUGAAAAAGAAUAAAAAUGGAAUGUGAUGCCUAGGUAGCAUAAUGAGGUCAGAAGAUUGCCCAACAUCUAUGGAAAAAUGACUUGAUUGAUGAACCAGCUAUAUUUAGCAGGUUGGCUUUAUUGUAGAACUGUUAAACAUUUGAUAUUCAUAAUGUUCGCAAGGCUUUUAAGAAAAUAGUUUUCAUUGCACUGGCGACAAUUCGGAAUGGCGAGGUGCGAAUGAAUCGGAUUAAAAGUCAGCGUGGAAAUGCAAUAGUUCCGCAGCUGGCAAGAAAUGAGAGGGCGAUUGGUGAUGAGACAAUUUAUUCUAAUCGCUGUAACUCAUGGACACGUCGACAUUCGUGGUAAUCAAACUUAGAACGUCUGCAAUGCGAAAUUUUUCACCAAUAUAAAGGAAAGCUGCAAACAUAUUUUCAGCAUUUUUAAUAAAAAAAUAAGCGCGUUCAUUCCCUUCAACCAAUUGUCAACGCGAGGCCCCGUAGGAACCUUCCAUACGUCACUUUUAUUGUAGCUGACAGUGACUGUAAUUAUGGCUUACUUAGCCCAUGCUUAUCCAGAGCUGCCUUGUUGAUCCCCGCCCUAAAAACUAUCAUCUUCAAAAGCUUCCAGGUUUGUUGUGGUCGUAGAACAGCAGACGACGAAGUUCAAAGCGGCAUUGUACCAUCGGGCAGAAUCCAAACGGUUGAUGCAUUGAAAAUGUCGGAGCUCUGUUGAUGAAUUUUCACCAGCACUCUUCCACAAGACGCGCGCGAAGCAAACGAUAGCAAAGGAGAUGUGGACUUGAAUUGGUUGUUUACCACCCGUGGCUUUCCCGCAUCCCAGGAUUAGUCUUGUACACCUUUUGCACUUGUACAGAGCGUUCGGGAACGAAAUUAGUUGUGGAUGGGUUUGUUGUUGACAAGCAAGGGAAGGAUUUUUUUACCAAAGUAGACAGGAUAUUUAUUCUUAAUCCCACAAUGUCUUGGUAAUAAAUCACUACAAAUCAUGCUGAAUUAGAAUAGUAUGUUGAUCGAGGCUGGGUGCCAAAGCAAUGGAUGAUAAUUGUAAGCGCGAUUGGAAAUAUCCAUGAUUUAUUAACGUUCUCUCAUGUUACGGUAUUUUAUUAAAGACAAAUUGAAGUGUA
rnacentral:misc_RNA from 1 species